GACGAACGCUGGCGGCGUGCUUAACACAUGCAAGUCGAACGGUAAGGCCCUUCGGGGUACACGAGUGGCGAACGGGUGAGUAACACGUGGGUGAUCUGCCCUGCACUUCGGGAUAAGCCUGGGAAACUGGGUCUAAUACCGGAUAGGACUCCUGGCUUCAUGGUGGGGGGUGGAAAGCUUUUGCGGUGUGGGAUGGGCCCGCGGGCUCUCAGCUUGUGGGUGGGGUAAUGGCCUACCAAGGCGACGACGGGUAGCCGGCCUGAGAGGGUGACCGGUCACACUGGGACUGAGAUACGGCCCAGACUCCUACGGGAGGCAGCAGUGGGGAAUAUUGCACAAUGGGCGCAAGCCUGAUGCAGCGACGCCGCGUGAGGGAUGACGGCCUUCGGGUUGUAAACCUCUUUCAGCUAUGACGAAGCGCAAGUGACGGUAGUAGCAGAAGAAGGACCGGCCAACUACGUGCCAGCCGCCGCCGUAA
rnacentral:rRNA from 1 species